AUUGAACGCUGGCGGCAUGCCUUACACAUGCAAGUCGAACGGUAACAGGUCUUCGGAUGCUGACGAGUGGCGAACGGGUGAGUAAUACAUCGGAACGUGCCUAGUAGUGGGGGAUAACUACUCGAAAGAGUGGCUAAUACCGCAUGAGAUCUACGGAUGAAAGCAGGGGAUCGCAAGACCUUGUGCUACUAGAGCGGCCGAUGGCAGAUUAGGUAGUUGGUGGGAUAAAAGCUUACCAAGCCGACGAUCUGUAGCUGGUCUGAGAGGACGAUCAGCCACACUGGGACUGAGACACGGCCCAGACUCCUACGGGAGGCAGCAGUGGGGAAUUUUGGACAAUGGGCGCAAGCCUGAUCCAGCAAUGCCGCGUGCAGGAAGAAGGCCUUCGGGUUGUAAACUGCUUUUGUACGGAACGAAACGGUUCGGGUUAAUACCCUGGGCUAAUGACGGUACCGUAAGAAUAAGCACCGGCUAACUACGUGCCAGCAGCCGCCGUAAUAC
rnacentral:rRNA from 1 species